CCUACGGGGGGCAGCAGUGGGGAAUAUUGGGCAAUGGGCGCAAGCCUGACCCAGCAACGCCGCGUGAAGGAAGAAGGCUUUCGGGUUGUAAACUUCUUUUAUCAGGGACGAAGCAAGUGACGGUACCUGAUGAAUAAGCCACGGCUAACUACGUGCCAGCAGCCGCGGUAAUACGUAGGCGGCAAGCGUUCUGCGGAUUUACUGGGUGUAAAGGGCGUGUAGGCGGGACUGCAAGUCAGAUGUGAAAACCAUGAGCUCAACCUGUGGCCUGCAUUUGAUACUGUAGUUCUUGAGUGCUGGAGAGGCAAGCGGAAUUCCUAGUGUAGCGGUGAAAUGCGUAGAUAUUAGGAGGAACACCAGUGGCGAAGGCGGUCUGCUGGACAGCAACUGACGCUGAGGCGCGAAAGCGUGGGGAGCAAACAGGAUUAGAUACCCGAGUAGUC
rnacentral:rRNA from 1 species